rnacentral:rRNA from 1 species
CCUACGGGGUGCUGCAGUGGGGAAUAUUGGACAAUGGGCGAAAGCCUGAUCCAGCCAUGCCGCGUGUGUGAAGAAGGCCUUCGGGUUGUAAAGCACUUUCAGUGGGGAAGAAAGCCUUGGGGCUAAUACCCUCGAGGAAGGACAUCACCCACAGAAGAAGCACCGGCUAACUCCGUGCCAGCAGCCGCGGUAAUACGGAGGGUGCGAGCGUUAAUCGGAAUUACUGGGCGUAAAGCGCGCGUAGGCGGUCUGAUAAGCCGGUUGUGAAAGCCCCGGGCUCACCCUGGGAACGGCAUCCGGAACUGUCAGGCUAGAGUGCAGGAGAGGAAGGUAGAAUUCCCGGUGUAGCGGUGAAAUGCGUAGAGAUCGGGAGGAAUACCAGUGGCGAAGGCGGCCUUCUGGACUGACACUGACGCUGAGGUGCGAAAGCGUGGGUAGCAAACAGGAUUAGAUACCCGAGUAGUC